CGCGUAGGCGGCCUACUAAGUCAGACGUGAAAUCCCCCGGCUUAACCUGGGAACUGCGUCUGAUACUGGAAGGCUUGAGGAUGGGAGAGGGAUGUAGAAUUCCAGGUGUAGCGGUGAAAUGCGUAGAUAUCUGGAGGAAUACCGGUGGCGAAGGCGGCAUCCCGGACCAUUACUGACGCUGAGGCGCGAAAGCUAGGGAGCAAACG
rnacentral:rRNA from 1 species